ensembl:lncRNA
CCUCAGGCCCUCCACGGCGCAGGCGCUGCGCGGCUGUACAGCGCGUGCGCGGCACCCCAGCCCCGCCCCGGAGGCGUUCCCGGACCAACGGUAGUACGGCGGGGCGGUUACUAACGCUUUAGCAAGCCGCGAAGAUAGGGGGCGGGGAAGGAGGACGUGUACCCCUCCCUCAUUCACUGCACCACCGCGAGGGAGAGUGGGGGGCUACAAGGGGGCGGAGAGAAGAGUCCAGACGUCCCACAUCCUGAGGGCGAGUUACGGCCUCGUGGAGGGCAGCAAAAGUAAUUGCAUGGGUCAGGAAAAUCUCGAUGUCGGAAAACGAUAGUGAGGGUGUUGACAUUGAGAGUGUGUUGGAUUGGAGUUAGAAGUGUUUAUUCCUCUCACUACUGGAACCAGAAAGGAACUAAGGAUCCGGCAAGCACUAAAAAGACCAAGGUCAGGCAGGCCAGGGGCCAGGAAUAAACCCUCCACCGCAGAUCAUCUUUGCCACAGGUAUAUAAGUUUCCAGCUGUUAAAUGACUAGCCGGAAUGCACCUUGCUAAACAGAGAACGUCUUCACUGUCCCAUUUUCCCCAAAUCAUGACUUCAAACACCUGAUGGGCAGCACUGAGCUCUGGAAUCAGGCAAACCUGAAAAAAAAAGCAAUUCCACCACUUUUCAGCUUUGUUACGUGCAGACCGGUUAAUCUGUCCUCAGUUUCCCCACUUUUAAAUUGGGGAUCCAACCAUGCCCGCCCCACAAGGUUGUUAGCGGCGGCGGGAGAAUAAAAGAACAAGGAAAGCCCUUGCGCGGAGCCCGACACACAGGUGCGUUGCCAUCCCUCGGGGAGAACUGGUUCUGGGCGUGCAUUCUAAGCGUGUUCUUGGCUUAGGACAAACGCAUCGCACUUUCUAUGCCAAUGUUGUUUGAUUGCAUCUUCUUGCAAAUCCCAAACUACUGGGACGCGCCCUGCACAGACGCACAGCAGGAUCCCUGCACUGCCUCCUCCCCAUCCCAGAGGCAAGCCUGCCCUUCCCAAGAGUCGGACUCCCUAGCUCCCUCUUCUUCCCUCGCUCCCUCACAGCCCACAGCACGCCGCCAGCUCCGACUAGGAGAACCGGUUCCCGACCGGCGAGCGCGGCAGGGCGCCUGCGCCACCGCAGCCCUGCGCAUGCCCACUGCCUCCCGCCGGCUUCCCCCAGGUGCGCGAGUUCUCAGGCUCGUGGGUUCCGGGACGCCGCGCGCCGCUGCAUGCCCGGCUUCCGGCUCCCACUAUCUGGGCGGGGCGGCCGGCUGCCGCGAGAUGACGUCACCGCGUGGGCGGGCGCGGCGGACUACUUCCUCGCGUGGCCCUGGAAUGUUGGGACUGACCCAGCAGGGUGGUCCAGUCUGUUUCGAUUGCUCUUGA